rnacentral:tRNA from 1 species
AGCCGACACGGCGACCUACGGGCUUUUAACCGGUGAGUUCAGGGUUCGAGUCCCUGACGGCCCA